rnacentral:tRNA from 1 species
GGAAAGUUGGCAGAGUUGGUCGAUUGUAAUAGUUUUGAAAACUAUCGGUAGUUUAAACUACCCAGGGGUUCGAAUCCCCUACUUUCCU